rnacentral:pre_miRNA from 1 species
GGCAUUAAUCAUUGGCUGCAAAUAAUGUAAGUAGCAAAUGUCACAGCCAAUCUUGAUGUCA